rnacentral:rRNA from 1 species
UACGUAGGGUGCGAGCGUUAAUCGGAAUACUGGGCGUAAAGCGUGCGCAGGCGGUUCGUUAAGACAGAUGUGAAAUCCCCGGGCUUAACCUGGGAACUGCAUUUGUGACUGGCGAGCUAGAGUAUGGCAGAGGGGGGUAGAAUUCCACGUGUAGCAGUGAAAUGCGUAGAGAUGCGGAGGAACGCCGAUGGCGAAGGCAGCCCCCUGGGCCAACACUGACGCUACAGGCACGAAAGCGUGGGGAGCAAACAGGAUUAGAAACC